AAUUCUCAAAACCUUUCUUUUGAAAGGAUUUUGGACUUGGGGGCUUUUUUGCUGGUUUCACCUUGAAGCGAGCUCCUCCUAAAUGGAUUAGCGGGGUCUGCUUUGCUGAUCCUUGACGUGAUAAGAUGUUUCUACGUCUUGGGUUUGGCUCUGUCCCUUGGACACCUGCUUCUAACCGUCUCAUCGACAAUGAUGGCGUUCCGGUCCCCCACUGUCUCAUCAGUGGUCGGGCUUGACCCACCAACAAAA
rnacentral:misc_RNA from 1 species